rnacentral:rRNA from 1 species
UACGAAGGGGGCUAGCGUUGUUCGGAUUUACUGGGCGUAAAGCGCACGUAUGCGGAUCGUUAAGUCGGGGGUGAAAUCCUGGAGCUCAACUCCAGAACUGCCUUCGAUACUGGCGAUCUUGAGUCCGGAAGAGGUGAGUGGAACUCCUAGUGUAGAGGUGGAAUUCGUAGAUAUUAGGAAGAACACCAGUGGCGAAGGCGGCUCACUGGUCCGGUACUGACGCUGAGACGCGAAAGCGUGGGGAGCGAACAGG